rnacentral:rRNA from 1 species
AACGUAGGUGGCAAGCGUUAUCCGGAUUUACUGGGCGUAAAGCGUGUGCAGGCGGGUGGACAAGUGGUGUAUGAAAUCGCCAGGCUAAACCUGGCGGGGUUAUGCCAGACUGUCCGUCUGGAGUGCGAGAGAGGGGCGUGGAAUUCCGGGUGUAGUGGUGAAAUGCGUAGAGAUCCGGAGGAACCCCAGAGGCGAAGGCGGCGCCUGGCUCGCAACUGACGCUCAGACACGACAGCAUGGGGAGCGAACGGG